rnacentral:lncRNA from 1 species
GAUGUCAUGAGUCUCAGCUACCAGGGGAUGCCCGGCCACCAAAGAGCGGAUGACAGAGGAGCGUCACUUCCGCUUCUGUCCCUCUUCUCAGUAUCACAGGCGCACAACUCACUGGAGACUGGCAAUUUACUUCACAUGUUUCUUCCCUGGUCUCGCUGCAGGCUCCCAGGCCAGGGCCCACCCCUCACCCUCAAGGCCUCCGCGCCUGCCCGGGACACCCAGGCCUUUUCUGAUUCCUGUUCAACCCACGGCGGCCUCCUAGGCCCUCAUCUCCAGGCAGCUUGUGUGGCACCCCUUGUCCUCUCCCACACUACAAGGGCGACCCUCUUGGGUUCCUGCAGGCUAUGGCCUCCGAGCCGCCUGUUGGGAACUCCCGGAGGCUGCCGCACCCAGGGUCCCUGAGGACCCUCCUCCUGGCUGCAAGGUCGCCCACCCACUGCCUUCACCACUUGAGCAGGUCGCAGCCAGGCUUCUGAAGGAGACAGAGGGGAGGGCCAAAGAAGAGCCCAGAACAGUGACGCAGAUGCAUCACGGAGAGACCCAGGAGCAGGAUGACAAGAAAAGGGCCCCUGUAGCCAGAAGGAAGUGUCAUCCACAUCCAGGGCCCUGGAGACCCAGGGAGGCCUCACCUCCUUUGGGUGCAGGCCCAGGCCUCUGCAGGGAAAUGUCCACCCCUACUUGUCGGAAAAACUCUUUACAGAGAGAAGGCCCAGUCAGUGAGUAGCUCCUUCUGGGAGGGCCAUGAGGCCCCCAGCUCAUACAGCCCUGCUGGAGUGGCCUUCCCCUUGGGAAGGCUGACCCGGCUUCUGCAGUGGUCCCGGCCCCGGCCCCGGCCCCAGCCCCGGCUGCUCCCUGCUGCCAGAGAAGGCGGCCCGGAAGGUGCUGGAUGAAGACCACCCGCCCAGCUCUCCAAGCUUGCUGAUGUCCAGGAAGGAGAUGCAGAUGUCAGGAAAGAAGAAGCCUUCAGCUCUUCCAACAUGGAGCUCUUCUCCCCCAAGAGCUGCCAGCAACAGGCGCUGUGAAAGGAAAAUGUGGAUUCCACCGCUGCUGCCGCUGGCCCCACGCUGCGAUUGAUGUGGGAUAGAGGUGAGCUCUCUCCACUUGCUAAGCUUCUCUACCUGCCUAUUGAGGGAUACCUGGGGAACUUGGAGAAGAGCAUGGGGUGUAAACAGAAGAGAAAACUUCUUCAAGGAGAAAAUGGAGGCUUUGGAGGAUAAAACGGAGGCCAAGGUAAACUGCAGCACCACUCAUCCUGCCCUUGCUGUCUCCGCACCUGCAGAGACUUCAGACUCCCUGUCCCUGGCCACCUACACUUCGCAGGUCCCAGCUCCUCUGUUCGUCCUUGACUUGGCCGAGUUGGCUGCCAGACCCCCCUGCCUGUCUGUCCACCUGACCCCUCACCAAAAAUAUCCAAAAUCCCUAACUCCCCACUGUCUUUUUUUUCCACUGACUUUGUCCCUAUAUUGGAGGUUCUACCUAAUGAGAAAGGAGGUUCUUCUCAUUCUGGAGUAGCUUCAGCACUUCUCACUUCUGACCCCCAACACUUUCUAGCCCCACACCUGUCUCCUUCCAGCCUCCUUUCAGAAGAGAGCCAGCCCUGUGUGCUUUCCCCUCCUCCUCUUUCCUCUCCCACCCUUCUUCCAGGACCUUCCACAGAUCUCUGUUACCACCAGCAAGCAGAUGAAUUCCACAGCAGUCAUUUCCACCAUCACAGCAAACACAUCUGCCCACCAGAUCUUGGAGCCUCCUUAAGACCAUCAGGCCAUCAACAAGGACGCCACUUCCCCUCCUAAGGCUGUUACUUUCAGAACUUCCUCAACCUCCAGGAUGAGAGCUCUCCCAAUUUCUCAAGUAGAUAGCCAUGCACAGCAGGGGCUCCCUGGUAAGAUUCAGUCUACAUCCACCCAGCUACAUUUAUAUUCCCCAGCCCCACCCCUCAGCCCAAAUUUGGAGCCCCUGAUUUGGCCAACCCAAACUGCAGCACCCCCCAGCCUGCCCCUGCUACCUCCCCACCUGCAGAGACUUCAUACUCCCUGUGCCUGGCCACCUGCACUUCCCAGGUCCCAGCUCCUCCUCCCACCCCUGACUUGGGCAUUGCCUCAGCCCACAUCUCCACCAGUUUGCCUGCACAGCCAGUCACGAGACCAAUGGCAACUUCUAACCACACUAUAAAUCUGGGAGCCACUGCUCCACUCACAUUCGGGGUCCCCAGCAGGAAGCAGGAAAAGCCUGUGUCCCUAAUACCCCUGUUAUUCUGAGCCAUCCCAUUAUGAUGCCUCCAGACACCUCCACUUUAGGGAGCAGCACCUCUGCAACAUCAUCAUCUUUUCCUACCAUUGAUAGCAGUGCUGUGGAUACUACCCUUAUUCAAAAGCUGUCAUCUCCCAGUCUGCCACUAUCUCAUGGAAGAAGUGCACUGUGCCUUACCUGGGGCUCCUUGGUUCUGGGUAUUCACAACCAACCCAGUGGCAACAUUACUUCAGCCCAUGUCUCCACCAGUUUGCCUGCAGUCAGUCACGGGAUCGAUGGCAACUUCUCCACAUGCUGUAAGUCCAGGAGCCACCUCCCAGCUCAUAUCUGGGGCUUCUCAUGGGCAGGAUAAGUCAGACGAUUCUCUCAUUCUGGGAAACCCAGCAACCCCAGCACCAGUCAUAAGCCUAAGGUCUCCUGCAGCCCAGCCACCCAGUGAGUGGCAGCAUCAUGGCAGCAGAUCUCACUGGUGUGACAUCACCAUAUUCCACAUUUGGCCUGCCUGUCAAUGUGCAGCCACGUAUGCUUAACAACUCAAGUGCUUUCCUCAUUACUACAGCCAAGUCUUCUGUAUUUAAAGUUGCCACUAGCAUGCCUGGCAGUGGCGACAGUACUGCAUUGGUUGGCAAUUCUACUCUAGUCCCACUGGGGAUUAUGAGACCUGGAACCCCUACAGAUUGUGAGAACAUAGGGGUUAGCAUGUCUGCCUCAGGCCCCAGUUCAACAUCAGGAACAUUGAAAGCUGUACCAGGAUGGAGGAGAACAACCAACACCAGUCUGUUCCCCCAUUUAGUCAGGUAGCCUGGGGUUCACCUGCUCAUACCACAUUGGUUGUGGCUACAAACACCAGCAACAUCUCUGCUUGUUCUACCUUCAUGCCAAGUAUCUGGCAUGCACCGCUCCAGAACCCAGGUGUUGCACCAAGAGGAGGCACACUCAUUUCCAUUGUCGGAGGCCCUUGUGCUUCCUUUUUCCAUCAGUCCAUGGUUGGCCCAUCUGGACACAGGUGGUGCAUCUACAAUGAAUGCCACCAUAGCUAUAAUGAGAGGCCUUCAUGUGC